ACCACUGAGCCAUCUUUCCAGCCCUGUGUUGCGGUUUUUAAAAGAUUGGUGAUAAGGGCUGGAGAGAUGGCUCAGUGGU
rnacentral:pre_miRNA from 1 species